rnacentral:RNase_P_RNA from 1 species
UGAGCAAGAGAGGCAAUCGCAGAGAGUGGUAAUAUUAGAUUACUUUCUGAGGAAAGUCCGGGCUCCGUAGAGCAAGGUGCUGGUUAAUUGCCAGUGAGGGUGACCUUAAGGAAAGUGCCACAGAAAAUAUACCGCCCUGUUUAUUAGAAGACAGGGUAAGGGUGAAAAGGUGAGGUAAGAGCUCACCAGCAAUCAGGCGACUGGUUGGCUUGGCAAACCCCACCUGGAGCAAGAUCAAAUAGGGAUGCUUGAGGGUUGCUCGCCCAAGUCCCAUGGUGAUCGCUUAGAUAAAUGAUUGCCACUCAAUAUGCAAAUAUUGAGCACAGAACCCGGCUUAUCUCUUGCUCAAAAU